AAUUGAAGACACCAUUUAUUGUAUAAUUUAUGUUGGUGAUUGUCUUCAUUGUAGGCAUUUUUUACACAUGUUACAGAAUAGAACAGAUCACCGUACAGGGGCAUAACUGCAUUUCUGCCCAUUUCUAUUAGUUCCAUGGUCCAGCCCACCUACCAAGACCCACCUGACACUUGUGUGUGGGUUAGUUAGUCCAUGUGAAGUGAAAUUUAUAAAGGUUCAUACACUGAAUUAAGCUAAGAGACGCAUGUUUAAUAACUGUAAAAAUUGUCUUUAUUUGUGUAUUAUAACACAGGAGGAGGAACAGAAAAAAUUAGAAAUUAAAGAAGUUACCUUUCGUACUGUCA